GGUUCCGUCGGACUAGUCUACGAGAGUAGUUGACUCGUGCACGAGACGACGCUGGCGGCGUGCUUAACACAUGCAAGUCGAGCGAGGACCGCACUCUUUUGGGGUGUGGAGCCGAGCGGCGAACGGGUGAGUAACACGUGAGCAACCUGCCCCUGGCUCUGGGAUAGCCCUGGGAAACCGGGAUUAAUACCGGAUAUGACCGCUGCUCGCAUGGGUGGUGGUGGAAAGGUUCCCCCUUGUGGGGUUCCGGCCGGGGAUGGGCUCGCGGCCUAUCAGCUUGUUGGUGGGGUGACGGCCUACCAAGGCGAUGACGGGUAGCCGGCCUGAGAGGGUGGUCGGCCACACUGGGACUGAGACACGGCCCAGACUCCUACGGGAGGCAGCAGUGGGGAAUAUGGCGCAAUGGGCGGAAGCCUGACGCAGCGACGCCGCGUGGGGGAUGAAGGCCUUCGGGUUGUAAACCUCUUUCAGCAGGGACGAAGUUGACGUGUACCUGCAGAAGAAGCGCCGGCCAACUACGUG
rnacentral:rRNA from 1 species